rnacentral:rRNA from 1 species
UACGUAGGGGGCAAGCGUUGUCCGGAAUCAUUGGGCGUAAAGAGCGUGUAGGCGGCCCGAUAAGUCCGCCGUGAAAGUCCAGGGCUCAACCCUGGAAUGCCGGUGGAAACUGUCGGGCUGGAGUCCGGAAGAGGCGAGUGGAAUUCCUGGUGUAGCGGUGAAAUGCGCAGAUAUCAGGAGGAACACCAAUGGCGAGGGCAGCUCGCUGGGACGGUACUGACGCUGAGACGCGAAAGCGUGGGGAGCAAACAGG